UAGAAUGCUAUUAUUUUUGGGUUUUAUUAUUUGGGGCCAAAAUCAUAUGCAUUUUAACUGUUUGUUGAUAUGUUUUAUUGGGUUGCGUGUGUGUGGUAGAAAUUAUAUAAUGCUUUUGCUCAUACAAAUGAAGAGAAAAUUUUAGUAGUGAAGCUAUUCCAUAACCUGUUCUAUUAAAGUCUUGGAUGUGUCUAUAUGCUCAGAUCUUCCUAAGAUCUUAUUAUUGGCUAUUUCCUAUACGUCAAUUACGAAUUUCAAUCUCCAGUUCCUCUAAUCUAAGAAAAUUUUAUCAUAUAUAAAUACAUGAUAUGUUGAUAUACUUUUAAUUGGUAUUUUAGGAUGAUGGAUCUGUUAUAUGUAUAUUUUCUCUUUCUGGAAGUAAUGCCCAAGAUGGACAUUUAGCUGCUGGUCGUAAUGGUGUAAAGCGCCUCAGAACUAUAAGUUCUCAUCUGUUUUACUCUUUGAUGUGACAUGAUUGAAGAAUUAAUCAACAAGGGGUAUGAACGUCGAAAUAACGCAGCUGCAAUGCAAACUCUUGUUACUAAUUGGUUGGAAAAUAUCAUGCAAGAGCGCUCAAAUAAUGGUAGAGGCUUACGUGUUAUUCCAUUGAACUUAUACAAGUUUCAAAUUGUUGGCUAUGGCAUGUUCGUUGGAGUAGUCAACUUAGAAAAUAAGACAUGCUCAUGCAAGGAAUUCGACAUUGAUGGAUUUCCUUGUGUCCAUGCAAUUGAAGCAUGAAAGCAUCGACAUAUUUCUCCAUAUAUCCUUUGCUCGGUGCAUUACUAAGUUGACUCACUCUGUGACGCAUAUUUGGAAACCAUAUAUCCACUUGGAGAUAAAUGUCAGUGGUAUGCUCGAGAUGAUGUCAUAAACCAGCUUGUACUUCCACCUAAGAUUGGCAAACAGUUAGGAAGACCAAGAAAGAAGAGGAUUCAAUCUCAAGGAGAGGAGCGUCAUCAAUAUAGAUGCGGGAGGUGCAAACAGGUUGGUCACAGCAGACGAUCAUGCUCCGCCGCCGUACCUCUUGAUAGCACUAACAACCAACAGUACCACUGAAACGAACGCCCAUCAAUCGCAUGAUGCUAUAUUCAAACAAUGAGGACAUGUUAUGUGGUAUGUGUGUGUAUGAAAUGUAGUCAGGAAUGCAAUUAGUUGGUCAACCGCGUAACGUGUGUUUUGGCAUAAUAGACGUUGGCUUUAUGUGUUCUUUUAUUGUCAAAUUCAUCUGUCGUAUUGUUUUGAUAACAUAUCAUUCCGUCUUCAGUUUUUGGUUCAGUUGUUUGUAUGUUUCUUACUAUUGCAUGGAUGAUAUUACUGCCCAAUGGUAAUGACCAAUGCAUCAUCGGUAA